GUCCACGCUGUAAACGAUGAGCACUAGGUGUGGGGGGGUUCAGUCCCUUCCGUGCCGCAGCUAACGCAUUAAGUGCUCCGCCUGGGGAGUACGGCCGCAAGGUUGAAACUCAAAGGAAUUGACGGGGGCCCGCACAAGCGGUGGAGCAUGUGGUUCAAUUCGAUGCAGAGCGAAGAACCUUACCUGGGCUUGACAUGCAGGAAGUAGAAACCGGAACGGCGACGACCUGUUAAGUCAGGAACCUGCACAGGUGGUGCAUGGCUGUCGU
rnacentral:rRNA from 1 species